UACGUAGGGGGCGAGCGUUAUCCGGAUUUACUGGGCGUAAAGCGCGUUAAGGCGGCCGGUCAAGUUGGUGGUGAAAUCUCAAGGCUCAACCUUGAAACUGCCUCCAAUACUGAUUGGCUAGAGUGUGAGAGAGGAAGGUGGAAUUCCCGGUGUAGUAGUGAAAUGCGUAGAUAUCGGGAGGAACACCAGUGGCGAAGGCGGCCUUCUGGCUCAUAACUGACGCUGUAGCGCGAAAGCGUGGGGAGCGAACGG
rnacentral:rRNA from 1 species